rnacentral:rRNA from 1 species
GUGGGGAAUCUUGCGCAAUGGGCGAAAGCCUGACGCAGCCAUGCCGCGUGAAUGAUGAAGGUCUUAGGAUUGUAAAAUUCUUUCACCGGGGACGAUAAUGACGGUACCCGGAGAAGAAGCUCCGGCUAACUUCGUGCCAGCAGCCGCGGUAAUACGAAGGGGGCUAGCGUUGCUCGGAAUUACUGGGCGUAAAGGGCGCGUAGGCGGACAGCUUAGGCAGAGGUGAAAGCCCAGGACUCAACCUUGGAAUUGCCUUUGAUACUGGCUGUCUUGAGUUUGGGAGAGGUGAGUGGAACUCCGAGUGUAGAGGUGAAAUUCGUAGAUAUUCGGAAGAACACCAGUGGCGAAGGCGACUCACUGGCCCAAUACUGACGCUGAGGCGCGAAAGCGUGGGGAGCAAACAGGAUUAGAUACCCGGGUAGUCC